rfam:Sphaerotilus natans subsp. natans DSM 6575 X805_97, whole genome shotgun sequence.
GGAGUCAGCCAGACCGCCGCUGGUGCAAGGAUCGAAAGGUCGCACUGGAGGAAGGUCCGGACUGCACAGGGCAGCGCAGGAGGUAAUACCUCUCCACCGCGAGGUGAGGAUCAGAGCAACAGAGACGAGCCGGUUCGGUCCGGGUGAAACGGGCAAUCUCUGCGCGCAGCAACACCAAAUAGGCCAGCUAUGACGUGGCCCGCUGAGCUGGCGGGUAGGUGGCAUCGAGCCGUUCCGGCGACGGGCGGCCCAGAGGAAUGGCGGUCACGGCGGGGCAACCCGCCGCACAGAAUCCGGCCUAUCGGCUGACUCCACAC